rnacentral:tRNA from 1 species
GCCGGAGUGGCGGAACUGGCAGACGCGAUGGACUCAAAAUCCAUUGGGGCUCACACCUCGUGCAGGUUCGAUUCCUGUCUCCGGCA